UUGAAAGGGAAACGAUUGAAGUCAGUCAUGUUGGUAGGGAAUCAACUUAAUGGUAUGCGGGUUUACUCGUGUUCUUUUGAGUGCACUUCCUUACUUGCAAGUUAGCAUCAAUUUUGAUUAUCAUAUAAAAAUUGAGGGAAGGUGGCUUUUCUUCGGAAAAGUGUUAUAGACCUCGAGAAAUGUGGUGAUCGGGAUUGAGGAUUGCAGCGGAUACCCUUUUGGGCUAGUCACCUGGCUUCUGAUGGUUACCCCGUCUUCGACAGCUUGCUGCCGUUGUCACUCGAUUAUCUAGAUGUUGGAGUGAUCAUAACUCGUUAAGGAUGUUGACGUA
rnacentral:rRNA from 1 species